rnacentral:rRNA from 1 species
UACAGAGGUGGCAAGCGUUGUUCGGAAUUACUGGGCGUAAAGGGCGCGUAGGCGGCCAUCUAAGUCAGACGUGAAAUCCCCCGGCUUAACCUGGGAACUGCGUCUGAUACUGGAAGGCUUGAGGAUGGGAGAGGGAUGGUAGAAUUCCAGGUGUAGCGGUGAAAUGACGUAGAUAUCUGGAGGAAUACCGGUGGCGAAGGCGGCAUCCUGGACCCAUUACGUGACGCUGAGGCGCGAAAGCUAGGGGAGCAAACGGGGA